GAUGAACGCUAGCGGCAGGCUUAACACAUGCAAGUCGAGGGGUAGGUUACUUCGGUAAUUGAGACCGGCGCACGGGUGCGUAACGCGUAUACAAUCUACCUUUUACAGAGGGAUAGCCCAGAGAAAUUUGGAUUAAUACCUCAUAGUAUUUUUGAAUCGCAUGAUUUGAUUAUUAAAGUUCCAACGGUAAAAGAUGAGUAUGCGUCCCAUUAGCUAGAUGGUAAGGUAACGGCUUACCAUGGCUACGAUGGGUAGGGGUCCUGAGAGGGAGAUCCCCCACACUGGUACUGAGACACGGACCAGACUCCUACGGGAGGCAGCAGUGAGGAAUAUUGGACAAUGGGCGCAAGCCUGAUCCAGCCAUGCCGCGUGCAGGAAGAAGGUCCAUGGAUUGUAAACUGCUUUAUACAAGAAGAAACACUCCCUCGUGUAGGGAACUUGACGGUACUGUAUAGAAUAAGGACCGGCUAACUCCGUGCCAGCAGCCG
rnacentral:rRNA from 1 species